rnacentral:rRNA from 1 species
GGCUCAGAUUGAACGCUGGCGGCAGGCCUAACACAUGCAAGUCGAGCGGAUGAAGGGAGCUUGCUCCUGGAUUUAGCGGCGGACGGGUGAGUAAUGCCUAGGAAUCUGCCUGGUAGUGGGGGAUAACGUCCGGAAACGGGCGCUAAUACCGCAUACGUCCUACGGGAGAAAGCAGGGGACCUUCGGGCCUUGCGCUAUCAGAUGAGCCUAGGUCGGAUUAGCUUGUUGGUGAGGUAACGGCUCACCAAGGCUGCGAUCCGUAACUGGUCUGAGAGGAUGAUCAGUCACACUGGAACUGAGACACGGUCCAGACUCCUACGGGAGGCAGCAGUGGGGAAUAUUGGACAAUGGGCGAAAGCCUGAUCCAGCCAUGCCGCGUGUGUGAAGAAGGUCUUCGGAUUGUAAAGCACUUUAAGUUGGGAGGAAGGGCAGUAAGCUAAUACCUUGCUGUUUUGACGUUACCGACAGAAUAAGCACCGGCUAACUUCGUGCCAGCAGCCGCGGUAAUACGAAGGGUGCAAGCGUUAAUCGGAAUUACUGGGCGUAAAGCGCGCGUAGGUGGUUUGUUAAGUUGGAAGUGAAAGCCCCGGGCUCAACCUGGGAACUGCUUUCAAAACUGGCAAGCUAGAGUAUGGCAGAGGGUGGUGGAAUUUCCCUGUGUAGCGGUGAAAUGCGUAGAUAUAGGAAGGAACACC